rnacentral:rRNA from 1 species
CAGCCGCCGCGGUAAUACGUAGGUGGCAAGCGUUGCCCGGAAUUAUUGGGCGUAAAGGGCUCGCAGGCGGUUUCUUAAGUCUGAUGUGAAAGCCCCCGGCUCAACCGGGGAGGGUCAUUGGAAACUGGGAAACUUGAGUGCAGAAGAGGAGAGUGGAAUUCCACGUGUAGCGGUGAAAUGCGUAGAGAUUAGGAGGAACACCAGUGGCGAAGGCGGCUUUUUGGCCUGUAACUGACACUGAGGCGCGAAAGCGUGGGGAGCAAACAGGAUUAGAUACCCGCGUAGUCCCUGUCUCUUAUAC